rnacentral:rRNA from 1 species
AAGUCGAACGAAGCUUGACGGAUGAUUUCUUCGGAAUGAAACCAGAUAUGACUUAGUGGCGGACGGGUGAGUAACACGUGAGCAACCUGCCUUUCAGAGGGGGAUAACGGCUGGAAACGGUCGCUAAUACCGCAUGACGUGUUCGGAUGGCAUCAUCUGAACAUCAAAGAUUUAUCGCUGAAAGAUGGGCUCGCGUCUGAUUAGAUAGUUGGUGGGGUAACGGCCUACCAAGUCUACGAUCAGUAGCCGGACUGAGAGGUUGAACGGCCACAUUGGGACUGAGAUACGGCCCAGACUCCUACGGGAGGCAGCAGUGGGGAAUAUUGCACAAUGGGGGAAACCCUGAUGCAGCAACGCCGCGUGAAGGAUGACGGUUUUCGGAUUGUAAACUUCUUUUCUUAGUGACGAAGACAGUGACGGUAGCUAAGGAAUAAGCAUCGGCUAACUACGUGCCAGCAGCCGCGGUAAUACGUAGGAUGCAAGCGUUAUCCGGAUUUACUGGGUGUAAAGGGAGCGCAGGCGGGACUGCAAGUUGGAUGUGAAAUACCGUGGCUUAACCACGGAACUGCAUCCAAAACUGUAGUUCUUGAGUGAAGUAGAGGCAAGCGGAAUUCCGAGUGUAGCGGUGAAAUGCGUAGAUAUUCGGAGGAACACCAGUGGCGAAGGCGGCUUGCUGGGCUUUAACUGACGCUGAGGCUCGAAAGUGUGGGGAGCAAACAGGAUUAGAUACCCUGGUAGUCCACACUGUAAACGAUGAUAGCUAGGUGUGGGGGGUCUGACCCC